rnacentral:lncRNA from 1 species
UUUUUUUAGGCCGCUCCAGGAUGCUUCGUCGAAGUUUUUACCUUUGAGAGCCCACUUUCUGUCGACAUGGGACCGACUGUUAAUGGUGGCAGCCCAUGGUAACCAAUCCUGCGCGCCCUUGGUUGGCUGGACUUCCAAAGAGAUAUGGUAUGGCUUGUUUCCGUCCUCUUUCCUUGGGUGCGGUGGGUCUCGGCUCAGCUGGGCGCUGGCCGCGUCCGAUAUCAUUUCAUCAUGUCUCAACCGUGAACAGUUGCUAGAUGGCCCCCGCUCCAGCUGU